UCCCCCUUCAGCAGCCAUCUGUCCGCUAAGAGUAGAAGCAUGUCAACUUUUCACGCGGGGAAUUAAUCAACUCCUUUAAUGCUUACUUCUCCCGUCUUUUAUGCUUGAGCUUGGGUCAACAAGAACUGCUACAGAAAGGCCUUUCAUUCAUUUCCACCCCCACCUCCAAAGGAAUGAGAGCCAAUCCUUAGUGCCACAUGUCUCAGAAGCGCUGUGCCUUCUCUGGCAGCAGUCGGGUAGAAAGCUUUCCCCCUCGACUUACAAUCAUCCAGGACAACCAACUGGACAUCCGUGCUGAUUGUAAAACAGUGCUUAUCCCUGAGAGGACAAUCAAGGGAGUUAGAGGAGAAGACGGUUUUCCCGGCACAGGAACAUGACGGAACGCUGCAAACACAGAAUGUCUGGAACUCGGGCAGUGAUUCACCACCCAAUUCUGGAUUCAGAGGCAGGAAGGGGACUGACAGCACAACAAAUGGAAAAUGGCACUGGACCGUCAGUUCAUAGCAUCUCUUGACAGCAGCAGGGAGCCGAAGUCAGUGUCAAGCCACAGAAUCCUGUUUGAAUUUCCAAUGAAAACAUCGCAGAAAUAACCCUAGCAGGAAAGCCUCUCUCUCUCUCUUUUUUUUAACUCCCAAGAUAAUUUAAUUGGGCUUAUCUGGAGUUCAAAGAGCGGUUACAACACAGGCGCUUAAUGUUGA